rnacentral:rRNA from 1 species
UACACAUGCAAGUCGAACGGCAACACGGAGCUUGNNCUNNUGACGAGUGGCGAACGGGUGAGUAAUGCNUCGGAACGUGCCUAGUAGUGGGGGAUAACUACUCGAAAGAUGGGCUAAUACCGCAUGCNUUCUGAGGAAGAAAGUGGGGGACCUUCGGACCUCGCGCUAUUCGAGCGGCCGACGGCUGAUUAGGUAGUUGGUGAGGUAAAGGCUCACCUAGGCGACGAUCUGUAGCUGGUCUGAGAGGAUGAUCCGCCACACUGGGACUGAGACACGGCCCAGACUCCUACGGGAGGCAGCAGUGGGGAAUUUUGGACAAUGGGCGAAAGCCUGAUCCAGCCAUGCCGCGUGUCUGAAGAAGGCCUUCGGGUUGUAAAGGACUUUUGUCNGGAAGGAAAUNCNUNGGGCUAAUACCGNNGGGGGAUGACAGUACCUGAAGAAUAAGCACCGGCUAACUACGUGCCAGCAGCCGCNGGUAAUAAAA